GCUGCCACUGUUUACGUUGUUGAUGUCUAUGAAAGGACCUGCCAGGCAUUCCUAUUGGUUCUGUAAGUCAUGUUGAUGCAUGUGGUCUUUGUUUUAAUGGGAUAACAUCUUGAUUGCCAUGACCUCCCUGGCCUCUUAUGGCGAUAUUAAGGUAAGUGUACAUUUUUCCAACAUGAGGAAUGUAAAUUUCCAUGAACUGAAAUACUAACUGAAGCUAAGUUGAUAUCUGGAAUACUUGCUGCUACCUCCAUAUAAAUUGAAUUCAUUUAUCCCUGCUGCAUCUGGUAAACAUGUGGAUGUCCAGGAUCCAUUGUCUUAUGGUAUUUCUGGCAUUACUAGAAGCCAUGUGGAUGACUGUGGUCCUUCUUGCCAGUGUAUUCCAUAUAGAUUUCCUUGAACUCUUGCCACCUGUGACAAUGUUAAUGUAAGGGUUCUGUGCUGUCAAUGUGAAGAACAUUAAUUUCCAAGAAUUUAACCACCAACUGAAACUAAGUUUAUAUACAGAAUGAAUGGUGCCACCUCCAAACAUGUUGAAGUCAUUGAUCCCUCCUGCCUCUGUUGGACAUAUUGGUGUUUAUGAUUCUAAUUAUGAUAUUCCUAGUACAUUUGAAAUCCAUGAUGAUGCCCAUCAUAUUUGUACCAGUGGAUACCAUAUUGUUUUUUGUGAUCUCCCCUGCUGUCUUUGACCUUGUUAAAUUAAAUGUUCUCUCACCAACAUGAAGAAUAUUAAGUUCCAAGAUUUAACCAUUGAAAUGUUAAGUUCCAAGAUUUCACUGAUCUUGGAAACUAGUUUUAUACCCAUAAUUCUUGGUGUCAUCUGAAUCCAUGGUCAUUUUAUUGAUCCCACUUGUCUCUGUUAACCAUGUUAAUGCCUAUGAUCAGAACUUACAUGCUAUUCUUAUUCCUUCUGGAAGCGAUGUUGAUUCCCAUGCUCCUUGUUACCAAUGGAUAACGUCUUGAUAUUGGUGAACUGUGUGGUCAAUUUUGACCAUAUUAAGAUAAAUUUUCUGUUAUUCUAACAUGAACAAAGUAAAUUUACUAGAAAUCAACUACCAUCUGAAACUAAGUUAAUAUCCAUAAUUCAUGCUGCUGUCUAUAAACAUGUUGAUUCCAUUGUUUCCUGCUCCCUCUUAACAGUUUUGAUCAGUCCAUGGUCAGACAUUCCAUGGUAUUCCUACUAUUUCUGGGAGGCAAGUUAAUGCCUGUAGUUCUUCUUGCUGCUUAAUAUGAAGUUUAUAUCUAGCUUUCCUGCCAUUGUUUUGUGAAUGAGAAAAACGUUAAUUUUCAAGAUUUAAUCUGCAGUCUGAAAAUAAGUUGAUAUCUAUGAUUCAUGCUGCCACCUGCAACCAUGUUGAUGUCAUUGAUUCUACUCUGUUAAUCAAAUUGAUGUCUAACAUAGGACAUCAUGCUAUUCCUGUUUCUUCUGGAAGCCAUGUAGAUGCCUGUGGUCCUUCUUAACCACUACAUACAUUGUUGAUUUCCAAGAUCUCUCCUGCCCCUUUUGACUGUAUUAAAUUAUUAUUCUGUGUUACCAACAUGCAGAAUGUUAAUUUGCAAGAUUUAACCCACCAUCCAAAUGUAAGAUGAAAUCCAUAAUUCAUGAUGCCACCUGAAACCAUUUUGAUGCCAUUUAUCCCAUGUGCCUCUGUUAACCAAAUUGAUGUCCAUGAUUGGAUGACCUACUAUGCUCUUCCUACUAUUUCUGGAAGCCUUGUUCAUGCUUGUGGUCUUUCUUACUGUAGAUAUGACAUUGAUGUCCAUAUCCAUGGAGAUCUUCUGCUACCGGAAACCCUAUUGAUGCAAGAGUUCUGUGCUGCCAACAUGAUGAAUGUUAAUUGCCAUGAUCUCAGCUACCAUCUGAAACUAUUGAUAUUUACAUGCUACCACCUACAACCUUGUUGAUGACAUUGAUGCCUGCUGUCCUCUUUAUCAUGUUCAUUUGUGCUAUUCCUUUUGGUUUGAAGUCCAUGUUGAUGCCUUAUGGUUAUGUUUUGCUCCUGGAUAAGAUGUUGAUGUUAAUGGUCUGACCUGCCACCUGAGACCAUGCUGAGGUAAGUUUUCUGUGUUGCCAACAUGAAGAAUAUUGAUUUCCAUGAGUUGAUCUGCCAUUGGAACUGAAGUUGAUAUCUGUAAUUCAUUCUGUCCCUGGAACCAUGUUGAUACCACUGAUUCUUGCUUCUUUUGUUUAUCAUGUUAAUUACCACGAUCUGACCCACCAUGCUGUCCCUACUGCUUCUGGAAGCCAUGUUGAUGCCUGUGGUUCUUGGUGCUCAGGGAUAUGAUCUUGAUGUCAAUGUUCUGUUCUGACUCCUGAAUCCAUGCUGAGGCCACCACAUUGAUGUCACUGAUCCUUGCUGCAUGUUUUAACUAUGUUGAUAUCCAUGAGCCAACCCUCCAUUCAAAACUAUGUUGAUAUUAUGGAUCCUUCCUACUUCUGGGAGCCAUGGCGAUGCCUGAGGUCCUUGUUGCCCCUGGAUGCGAUAUUGAUGUCCAUGUUCUGUCCUUCCACCUGAGACCACAUUGAGGAAAUCAUAUUGAUGUCACUGUUCUUUGCUGCAUCUUCUAACCAUGUUGAUGUUCAUCAUCCAACCUACCAUCCAAAACUUUGUUGAUGUUACUGAUCUAUGUUGUAGCUGUCAACCAUGUUGAGGUUACUGAACUUUGCUACCACCUGUAACCAUAUUGAUGUCUGCAGUGUGCAGUGUCAUCAGAAACAAUGUUGAAGUCAUUCGUCCAUACUGCUACCUGAGACCCAGUUCAAGCAACCAUGUUGAUGUGACUGAUUCUUGCUGCCUGUCUUAACCUUGCUGAUAUCCAUGAUUCGACCUGUCACCUGAAACUUUGUUGAUGUCACUGAUCUUUGCUGUUGCUGUCAACCAUGUUGAUGCUACUGAAACUUGCUUCCACUUGUAACCAUACUGAUGUCUGUAGUCUGUUAUCAUCUGAGACAAUGCUGAAAUAAGUGGUGCAUACUACCACCUGAGACCCACUUCAGGAAACCAACCUUGUUGAUGUCACUGAUCUUUGUUCCCUGUUUUGACCAUGUGGAUGUUCAUUAUCUGAUUUUACAUCUGAAAUUAUGUUGAUGUCACUCAUUCAUGCUGCCGCUGAUAACCAUGUUUAUGGCCAUAGUCUUUGUUGGAAUCUUAGACCUUGUGCAUGUCCAUUGUCCAUGUUGACACCUGAGUCCAUGAUGAUGACCAUGAUGACUGUAGUCUGUGCUGCUGCUGGGGAUUAGGUCAAUAUAAAUGAUCUGAGCUGCCAACAGAAACUAUUUUGAUAUCAUUAAGCCAUCCUGGUGCUGGAGACCAUGUUGACAUCUUUGUCCUUGCUGCCACCAAAAACUAUGUUUAUGUUCAUGCUCUGGGCUGCAUGCUGAAGACCAGUUGAAUAUCCAUGACUCAGAUGCUGAUGGAGACUGUGUCAAUGUCUGUGGUUAGUACUGCCACAAGAAGGCAUCCUGAUAGUGAUCUGUGAUGCCUCCCACAAACAUGUUAUGUUGGUGAUCUGUGUUGAUGUCAUGGACCAAAUGGAUGUCAGUUAUCCAAGCUGUCAGGAGAAAUCUUGUGGACCAUUAUCUGUGCUGCUCCUGGAAACCCUUUAGAAGUCUAUGAUCCAUUCUGCUACUGGAAACCAUGUGGAAGUCGGAGAUCUGUACUGCCACUGACUUCUAUUGGCAGGGAGCUUCUUUUGCAGUGGUAUCAAUGACUGUAGAAUCAUAACUGAAAUUCAGACAGACAAUGAAGGCGUCUGUGCCACCAUAUCCCCCAAAAGAAAAUCCAGACAGGAUCUUAUUGGAGAGUCCUUGAAAGUUGUAAUAAAAAUACUUAACUGUAGCUCUUCACAGUUGAUGGCUUCAGGCAGGGGUUGGGGAACAACUCCUUUUUAAGGGGCUGGCCACUGCAAGUUUGACCAUGCUCCAAUGAGUAUAAGGGUUACACCGAUUGGACUUGUUAUAUUGUAUUUUUUCUA